AUGCCGCACCACUCUCUUUCUGUGCUGUCCGACCUCCCCCGCCACCCCCAUUCCGUGUUUUCGGACUACCACCCCCAUUCUGUGCUGUCCGACCUCCCCCGCCACCCCCAUUCCGUGUUUUCGGACUACCACCCCCAUUCUGUGCUCUCGGAGCUCUCCCUACACCCCGAUUCGGUGUUCUCGGACUACCACCCCCCAACUGGGCUCUCUGAGCUCCCUCGACACUCCGAUUCGGUGUUCUCGGACUACCACCCCCCAACUGGGCUCUCUGAGCUCCCCCGACACCCAGAUUCGGUGUUCACGGACUAUCAGCCCCCAACUGGGCUCUCUGAGCUCCCCAGACACCCAGAUUCGGUGUUCACGGACUACCAGCCCCCAUCUGGGCUCUCUGAGCUCCCUCGACACCCAGAUUCGGUGUUCACGGACUACCAGCCCCCAUCUGGGCUCUCUGAGCUCCCCCGACACCCAGAUUCAGUGUUCACGGACUACCAGCCCCCGUCUGGGCUCUCUGAGCUCCCCAGACACCCCGAUUCGGUGUUCACGGACUACCAGCCCCCGUCUGGGCUCUCUGAGCUCCCUCGACACCCCGAUUCGGUGUUCACGGACUACCAGCCCCCGUCUGGGCUCUCUGAGCUCCCUCGACACCCCGAUUCGGUGUUCACGGACUACCAGCCCCCGUCUGGGCUCUCUGAGCUCCCGCGACACCCCGAUUCGGUGUUCACAGACUACCAGCCCCCAUCUGGGCUCUCUGAGCUCCCGCGACACCCUGAUUCAGUGUUCUCGGACUACUACCCGCAGUCCGUGUUCUCUGACUACCACCCCCAGUCCGUGCUCAAUGACCUCUCCCACCACCCCCAUUCCUUGUUCUCUGAUGUGUCUGAUUAUUCACAUUUUGUACUCUCAGACCACCCCCAUGACCCCCAUUCCGUGCUCUCUGACCUUUCCAACUACCCCCAUUUUGUGCUCACUGACCACCCUCACUACCCCUAUUCUGUGCUCGCUGAUCUCUCCCACUACCCACAUUCCGUGCUCUCUGACCUCUCCCACUACUCCAGUUCUGCGUUCUCUGACCUCCCACAGCCCCACUUUGUGAUCCCUGCCUUCCUGUACCACCCCCAUUUCGUGUUCUCCGACAACCACCCCCACUGCCAGUUUGUGCUCUCUGACAUCUAUCCCUACUGCUACUUUGUGCUGUGA
rnacentral:lncRNA from 1 species